rfam:Staphylococcus massiliensis S46 Contig11, whole genome shotgun sequence.
AUAAAUGUGAUUAUUUUACCUAAGACAGUAGGAGUUUAAAGAAACUUAAUCAUCAUAGCAAUUUAUGAUAUCCUACCGAGGCUAAAUUGACUUGAACGUGAUAAGAUUCAAGCACUUUUUGCCGCGGGUAAAAAGUGCUUUUUUAUUGUAAAA